rnacentral:piRNA from 1 species
UGCAGGUCCAUGCAACCGAUCACGUG